UGACAUCAGCUGACAUAAGGUACCUACGAAGAUCAGGUGAAUAACAACGAUAGCCCUUCUGGACACGAGAAUAACCAAGGAAGACACACUUAAGAGCUCGAUGAGCUAACUUAUCUUACCCAUGGGCUAAGUUAUGAAUGAAACAAGUGCUCCCAAAAACACGAGGGGGAACAGAGUAUAAGGGUCACUGGGGAAACAAUACCUCAUACGGAAUCUAAUUCUGGAUGGGAGAUGAAGGCAUACGAUUAAUCAAAUAACAAGAUGUGAGAAUUGCAUCGCCCCAAAAACGCAUCGGAACAUGAGAUUCAAGGAGAAGUGUGCGCGUAGUCUGAAUAAUGUGCCUAUUUUUUCUCUCUGCAACCCCAUUUUGCUGAGGGGUAUAAGGACAAGAGGUNNNNNNNNNNNNNNNNNNNNNNNNNNNNNNNNNNNNNNNNNNNNNNNNNUUUUGCUGAGGGGUAUAAGGACAAGAGGUCUGAUGAAUAAUUCCUUGAGAAGUCAUAAACUGCUGAAAUUGAGAGGAUAAAUAUUCUAAGGCAUUAUUAGAGCGAAAAGUACGAAUAUAAACAUCAAAUUGAUUUUUAAUUUCAGCACAAAAAUUCUGGAAUAUAGAAAACAACUCAUAACUAUCUUUCAUUAAGAAAAUUCAAGUACAUCUUGAAUGAUCAUCAAUGAAACUUACGAAACAACGACAUCUCAAGGUUGAACUGACUCUACUAGGACCCCAUAUAUCCGAAUGAACUAAAGAAAAAAUAGACUCUCUUGAAUGAUCAUCAAUGAAAUUAACAAAAUAACGAAACCCCAAGGUUGAACUGACUCUACAAGGACCUCAUACAUCAGAAUGAACUAAAGAAAAAACAGACUCUGCAUGACUCUCAAUACUAUGAGGAAAUGAGGCUCGGGUAUGUUUCCCGAGCUGACAUGACUCACACUCUAAUGUGGAUAAACUAGACAAACCAGGCACCAUCUUUUGAAGCUUGGACAAGCUAGGAUGUCCUAAACGAUUGUGAAGUAGUUCUAGAGGAUUUGCAACUAGACAGGCUUUGGAGGAUUUUAGUGAGUUAAGGUAGUAGAGUCCUUCUGAUUCAAG
rnacentral:lncRNA from 1 species